rnacentral:rRNA from 1 species
AGAGUUUGAUCCUGGUUCAGAAUGAACGCUGGCGGCGUGCUUAACACAUGCAAGUCGCACGAGAACGCUUCAGUUUGUUGAAGUUAGUAAAGUGGCGUACGGGUGAGUAAUGCGUGGGUAAUUUAUCCUCGAAUUGGGGAUAACAUCGCGAAAGCGAUGUUAAUAUUGAAUAAUAUCUUGAAAACUUUGGUGAUUAAGAUUAAAAGUGGCUUUUAUAUGUAAGCUACUGUUUGAGGAUGAGCCCGCGUACCAUUAGCUUGUUGGUAGGGUAAUGGCCUACCAAGGCUAUGAUGGUUAGCUGGUCUGAGAGGAUGAUCAGCCACACUGGAACUGAUAUAUGGUCCAGACUCCUAUGGGAGGCAGCAGUGAGGAAUUUUGCGUAAUGGGGGAAACCCUGACGCAGCAACGCCGCGUGAGUGAUGAAGGCUUUUGGGUCGUAAAGCUCUGUCAAGUGGGAAGAAUCCACAUGGUGUUAAUAUUACCAUGUGUUGACGGUACCACUGAAGGAAGCACCGGUUAACUCCGUGCUAGUAGUUGUGGUAAUACGGGGGGUGCGAGCGUUAUUCGGAAUUACUGGGCGUAAAGAGCGCGUAGGCGGUCCUAUAAGUCAGCUGUGAAAGUCCGGGGUUUAAUCCCGGAAGUGCAGUUGAAAUUAUAGGACUUGAGUAUGGGAGAGGGAAGUGGAAUUCCUGGUGUAGUGGUGAAAUGUGUAGAUAUCAGGAGGAAUAUUGGUGGUGAAGGUGACUUCCUGGACCAAUACUGACGCUGAGGCGCGAAGGCGUGGGGAGUAAAUAGGAUUAGAUAUCCUGGUAGUCCACGCAGUAAAUGGUGAUCACUAGGUGUAGCGGGUACUGAUUCCUGCUGUGCCGCAGUAAAUGUAUUAAGUGAUCCGCCUGGGGAGUAUGACCGUAAGGUUAAAACUCAAAGGAAUUGACGGGGGCCCGCACAAGCGGUGGAGCAUGUGGUUUAAUUUGAUGCAAUGUGAAGAACCUUACCUGGAUUUGAUAUCCCGGGAAUCUUUUGGAAACAUUAGAGUGCCCUUUGGGGAACCCGGUGAUAGGUGCUGUAUGGCUGUCGUCAGUUUGUGUUGUGAGAUGUUGGGUUAAGUUUUGCAAUGAGUGUAACCCCUUUCUUUAGUUACCAUUGUUUAGUUGGGGAUUCUAAAGAUACUGCCCCGGUUAACGGGGAGGAAGGUGGGGAUGACGUCAAGUCUUUAUGGCCUUUAUGUCCAGGGCUACACACGUGUUACAAUGGGCUGUAUAAAGGGUUGUUAACCCGUGAGGGUGAGCUAAUUCUAGAAAGCAGUUCGUAGUUCGGAUUGGAGUCUGUAAUUUGACUUCAUGAAGCUGGAAUCGUUAGUAAUCGUGGAUUAGUAUGUCACGGUGAAUACGUUCCCGGGCCUUGUAUACACCGCCCGUCACACCAUGAGAGUUGGUUGUACCAGAAG